CCAAUAGCGUAUAUUAAAGUUGUUGCAGUUAAAAAGCUCGUAGUUGAAUUUCGGGAUCAAUACGUCGGUCGUGCCUCUGGUAUGUACUGGUGUUAUUGAUUUCUCCCUUCUGAUGAAUCAUGAUGUCAUUAAUUUGGUGUUGUGUGGAGUCAGGACUGUUACUUUGAAAAAAUUAGUGUGUUUAAAGCAGGCUCACGCCUGAAUACAUUAGCAUGGAAUAAUGAAAUAGGACGUUCGAUCCUAUUUUGUUGGUUUCUAGGAUCAACGUAAUGAUUAAUAGGGAUAGUUGGGGGCAUUAGUAUUCAAUUGUCAGAGGUGAAAUUCUUGGAUUUAUUGAAGACUAACUACUGCGAAAGCAUUUGCCAAGGAUGUUUUCAUUAAUCAAGAACGAAAGUUAGGGGAUCGAAGACGAUCAGAUACCGUCGUAGUCUUAACCAUAAACUAUGCCGACUAGGGAUCGGAUGAUGUUAAUUUUUUAAUGACUCAUUCGGCGCCUUACG
rnacentral:rRNA from 1 species